UUAAACUGAAGAGUUUGAUCCUGGCUCAGAUUGAACGCUGGCGGCAUGCCUUACACAUGCAAGUCGAACGGCAGCACG
rnacentral:rRNA from 1 species